UACCCCCCGACUUCCGAGUUCGAGCGGCUUGCGGGCUCGGACGUGGGAAGUAAAGUCUACCAUUAGAGUUGGGGGGCGAAUCUCGUCCGCGCCCUCGUGUUUCUCGGAGUGUUUAUGGCGAGACCCGCGCCCUUGGGCGUUUCGAGGUUGCUUUAUUCAGCGAACUUAUGGUGGAGCUCGUGUCUUUACGUUUCUCGGAGCGGAUGUAACGGGGGUGGCGUCUCUUGGAUCGCCAAGAUUGCUUCGUGCGGCGGACCCAUGAUGAGGGUCCUCGGGCUCGACGAGGCGACGCCUCGAUCCCGUAAUCGAGACUCCCCGCUUAUGAAUGAGUGUGCCGUUACGGGGUUCAAAACGGACACGCGGCAUGACCUAGGAUCGGACGCUCCCGAUCUCGUAUUACUGGAUCAUGGAUCCGGCGAGGUGAAGGCUACGUCGGGGCUCCACGUGCCCCAGGGCCUUAUUAAAUGAGGGGAGCGGAGGUGCCGUCUGUUCGUUCUUCAAGGCGAUUCGAUUCUGCGGACCCAUAAUGAGGCCCCGAGAUCCGAUGGGACAGGGCUUCGAUUUCGUACCCGAUUUAUUGAUCCGGAGCGAAUACGGUGCCUCGGUCUCCGAGGCCGACACGUGGCGCAAUCCGGUCAGGGGAUGGGAACCGACCCUGCCGAUCUGGACUGUCAAGGGGGUCUAUAUAAACCCCUCGAGUUUGCCCUAAAGGUUUUAUUUGGCUGCCUCUUAUUUUUGUUGUCUUUCUCCCUUGCUUCCUUCCUCAACCAAACCUCGCCGUCGGUGCCCGGAGCGAUUUCCGGCGAUGUCCAGUAGGUCCCUACCCUGUGAUUGCUAGGGUUCCUCUUCUCUUUUCCUCCCAGUUAUCAUCCCCUGCUUUUAAUUUUAUUUCGCUCUCCUGUGAAAUGGGUCUUGGUCCGGAGGAGGUGGGGUCAAGUCUAUCAGGGGAGGAGUUGGAGUUAAUCCGCUCCCGGUUUUUCUUCCAGCCCGGGUUUCGUCUCGAAACUGCGGGGCCGGAAGACAGGGUGACGCAGCCGCCCCCAGGUCGGAUCGCGGUUUACCGCGAGACGCUUUGGGCCGGCCUACGGUUCCCUAUUCACGAGUUCGUGAGCAACCUGCUGGUCAAGUAUCAGCUCGUCCCGGCACAGUUGGCUCCGAACUCGUGGAGAACCAUAAUCGGGUUCCUGUC
rnacentral:lncRNA from 1 species